AGAAGCUUGCUUCUCUGAUGUUAGCGGCGGACGGGUGAGUAACACGUGGAUAACCUACCUAUAAGACUGGGAUAACUUCGGGAAACCGGAGCUAAUACCGGAUAAUAUUUUGAACCGCAUGGUUCAAAAGUGAAAGACGGUCUUGCUGUCACUUAUAGAUGGAUCCGCGCUGCAUUAGCUAGUUGGUAAGGUAACGGCUUACCAAGGCAACGAUGCAUAGCCGACCUGAGAGGGUGAUCGGCCACACUGGAACUGAGACACGGUCCAGACUCCUACGGGAGGCAGCAGUAGGGAAUCUUCCGCAAUGGGCGAAAGCCUGACGGAGCAACGCCGCGUGAGUGAUGAAGGUCUUCGGAUCGUAAACUCUGUUAUUAGGGAAGAACAUAUGUGUAAGUAACUGUGCACAUCUUGACGGUACCUAAUCAGAAAGCCACGGCUAACUACGUGCCAGCAGCCGCGGUAAUACGUAGGUGGCAAGCGUUAUCCGGAAUUAUUGGGCGUAAAGCGCGCGUAGGCGGUUUUUUUAAGUCUGAUGUGAAAGCCCACGGCUCAACCGUGGAGGGUCAUUGGAAACUGGAAAACUUGAGUGCAGAAGAGGAAAGUGGAAUUCCAUGUGUAGCGGUGAAAUGCGCAGAGAUAUGGAGGAACACCAGUGGCGAAGGCGACUUUCUGGUCUGUAACUGACGCUGAUGUGCGAAAGCGUGGGGAUCAAACAGGAUUAGAUACCCUGGUAGUCCACGCCGUAAACGAUGAGUGCUAAGUGUUAGGGGGUUUCCGCCCCUUAGUGCUGCAGCUAACGCAUUAAGCACUCCGCCUGGGGAGUACGACCGCAAGGUUGAAACUCAAAGGAAUUGACGGGGACCCGCACAAGCGGUGGAGCAUGUGGUUUAAUUCGAAGCAACGCGAAGAACCUUACCAAAUCUUGACAUCCUUUGACAACUCUAGAGAUAGAGCUUUCCCCUUCGGGGGACAAAGUGACAGGUGGUGCAUGGUUGUCGUCAGCUCGUGUCGUGAGAUGUUGGGUUAAGUCCCGCAACGAGCGCAACCCUUAAGCUUAGUUGCCAUCAUUAAGUUGGGCACUCUAAGUUGACUGCCGGUGACAAACCGGAGGAAGGUGGGGAUGACGUCAAAUCAUCAUGCCCCUUAUGAUUUGGGCUACACACGUGCUACAAUGGACAAUACAAAGGGCAGCGAAACCGCGAGGUCAAGCAAAUCCCAUAAAGUUGUUCUCAGUUCGGAUUGUAGUCUGCAACUCGACUACAUGAAGCUGGAAUCGCUAGUAAUCGUAGAUCAGCAUGCUACGGUGAAUACGUUCCCGGGUCUUGUACACACCGCCCGUCACACCACGAGAGUUUGUAACACCCGAAGCCGGUGGAGUAACCU
rnacentral:rRNA from 1 species